rnacentral:rRNA from 1 species
CCUACGGGAGGCAGCAGUGAGGAAUAUUGGUCAAUGGACGAGAGUCUGAACCAGCCAAGUAGCGUGAAGGAUGACUGCCCUAUGGGUUGUAAACUUCUUUUAUAUGGGAAUAAAACGUUCCACGUGUGGGAUUUUGUAUGUACCAUAUGAAUAAGGAUCGGCUAACUCCGUGCCAGCAGCCGCGGUAAUACGGAGGAUCCGAGCGUUAUCCGGAUUUAUUGGGUUUAAAGGGAGCGUAGGUGGAUUGUUAAGUCAGUUGUGAAAGUUUGCGGCUCAACAGCAAAAUUGCAGUUGAAACUGGCAGUCUUGAGUACAGUAGAGGUGGGCGGAAUUCGUGGUGUAGCGGUGAAAUGCUUAGAUAUCACGAAGAACUCCGAUUGCGAAGGCAGUUCACUGGACUGCAACUGACACUGAGGCUCGAAAGUGUGGGUAUCAAACAGGAUUAGAUACCCGGGUAGUC